AUGAACGCUGGCGGCGUGCCUAAUACAUGCCAGUCGAGCGAACAGAUGAGGAGCUUGCUCCUCUGACGUUAGCGGCGGACGGGUGAGUAACACGUGGAUAACCUACCUAUAAGACUGGGAUAACUUCGGGAAACCGGAGCUAAUACCGGAUAAUAUAUUGAACCGCAUGGUUCAAUAGUGAAAGACGGUUUUGCUGUCACUUAUAGAUGGAUCCGCGCCGCAUUAGCUAGUUGGUAAGGUAACGGCUUACCAAGGCAACGAUGCGUAGCCGACCUGAGAGGGUGAUCGGCCACACUGGAACUGAGACACGGUCCAGACUCCUACGGGAGGCAGCAGUAGGGAAUCUUCCGCAAUGGGCGAAAGCCUGACGGAGCAACGUCGCGUGAGUGAUGAAGGUCUUCGGAUCGUAAAACUCUGUUAUUAGGGAAGAACAAAUGUGUAAGUAACUAUGCACGUCUUGACGGUACCUAAUCAGAAAGCCACGGCUAACUACGUG
rnacentral:rRNA from 1 species